AGAUAAGGCGAAUACGGCCAGAUACAGGAAAAGGAUAAUGCCAAGUUCAGCUUGGGAUAGAAUGUGCAGCUAAUUUGUAAAAGUAUGGUUGAAGAAUAGUAUUGUCAUGUGUUAGAUAGUUUAUGAUUGUGUAUUAGUUAAGGUUACUCGAUUUUGGGGAAAUAGUGUGUAAAGUUUAAUGUAUAAACAAUUUAUGUUUAUAUCUUCCGCAAUAGUGAUAGAAUUAGUAUACCGGAUCCGCGGCGAUUUGGGACCCGGAUUCGGGGAUGCUACAG
rnacentral:lncRNA from 1 species